rnacentral:other from 1 species
AGAAUCCUGAGCUGUUCGUAAAGCUUACUUUGUUCAACCGACAAAAUGAUAUAGGGAUCAUCGAAAUGUAUAUGGAUGGCAUGCUCUCUUUGAAGAGAAGGCAGAAGUAUAAUGAGAAGAGCCCACCUGCUGAGUGGCGGGUAUGAACAACGUAAGUUACCGGCAGAUUUGGGAUGUAU